GAUUCCCUCAGUAACUGCGAGUGAAGUGGGAAAAGCUCAAAUUUAAAAUCUGGCAGUUUUUAAUUGCUCGAAUUGUAAUCUAGAGAAGUAUUAUCUGUUCUGGACCAUAUAUAAGUCUUCUGGAAUGAGGCAUCAUAGAGGGUGAGAAUCCUGUCUUUGAUAUGGACUACCAGUACAUUAUGAUAUGCUCUCAACGAGUCGAGUUGUUUGGGAAUGCAGCUCUAAAUGGGUGGUAAAUUCCAUCUAAAGCUAAAUAUUAGCGAGAGACCGAUAGUGAACAAGUACCGUGAGGGAAAGAUGAAAAGAACUUUGGAAAGAGAGUUAAACAGUACGUGAAAUUGUUGAAAGGGAAACGCUUAAAGUCAGUCAUGUUAAUCAGGGAUCAAUCUUGCUUUUUUUGCUUGAUGUAUUUUCUGAUUAAUAAGUCAGCAUCAAUUGUAAUCACUGGAAAAAGACUGAGGAAAUGUGGCAUCUUUUGAUGUGUUAUAGUCCUUUAUCAUAUACAUUGAUUAGAAUUGAGGAAUUCAGCAUGCCGCAAGGCCGGGUUUUAAUCACGUUCAUGCUUAGGAUGCUGGCAUAAUGGCUUUAAUCGACCCGUCUUGAAACACGGACCAAGGAGUCUAAUAUACCUGCAAGUAUUUGGGUGAAAAACCCAUAUGCAUAAUGAAAGUGAAAGUUGGGAUCUCUGUCAUAGAAAGCACCGACACCCAGACCAGACCUUUUGUGACGGAUCUGCGGUGAGCAUGUAUGUGGACCCGAAAGAUGGUGAACUAUGCCUGAAUAGGGUGAAGCCAGAGGAACUCUGGUGARGCUCGUAGCGAUUCUGACGUGCAAUCGAUCGUCAAAUUUGGGUAUAGGGCGAAAGACUA
rnacentral:rRNA from 1 species